rnacentral:tRNA from 2 species
GUCAGGAUGGCCGAGCGGUCUAAGGCGCUGCGUUCAGGUCGCAGUCUCUCUGGAGGCGUGGGUUCGAAUCCCACUUCUGACA